AUUGUCGAUGUGAACUCUACUUUUGUUUUCAAUACACCUAAAAAUUGAUCCAAAAUAUAUUUCCUAGGAUUUUCGGCGAAAAUCAGAGGGUGUGUAUUAUACCCAGGUGUGCAUUUUACACGGGUAUCAAUGGUAUAUUGGCUGAGAAAUUUUAUAUAUAUUAUAUUCGGUAUCACUAAACAUAGAUUUCACAGAUUUCUUCACUAAACUUUUCAGUCAAUAUUCAAACAAUGCCAACAUGUUAACAAAGGUUUGUUUUGUCUUUAUUCAGAGCACCAGAUCGCAAAUGUAACCAUUCCUGAACAACAGACACCAGGCCAACUUCAUGUACAGGCACUACCACGAGAAGACACAGAAGCUGCUCCUUUACCUGGCCCAGAAGUAACAACUACACCACCUUCAACAGCUACAGAGGCACCACUCCAUCAAGAUGCAGAGUCCACCAUUCUGCAAUAUACAACUACAGAUGGAGAAGCAGCAGUUUCAUCGACACGUUCGUUGUUUAAGGUUGUAAAGAGAAGGAAAUCUGAAAGCAGUACAGCUGAGACGAAAGAUGUAGCAGAAAAUUUGCAUUCGUGCAGAAAGAGAAAGAGAAAGACUGUCAAAGCUGAUGAUAUCUUCUACUGAACACGUCCGAAAGAAAUGUGAUGUAGUUUGGGACACUUACUUAUGUUAAAAAUGUGUUAGUAAUAUAUAUAUUUAUUAAUGUUGUUAAAUAACUAUGUCUGCUGACAUUGUUAUCAUUUAAUAAAAUUCUCAAUCUCUU